UACGAAGGGGGCUAGCGUUGCUCGGAAUUACUGGGCGUAAAGGGCGCGUAGGCGGCUUGCACCGUCAGAUGUGAAAUUCUUGGGCUUAACCUGGGGGCUGCAUUUGAUACGUGUGGGCUUGAGUGCGGAAGAGGGUCGUGGAAUUCCCAGUGUAGAGGUGAAAUUCGUAGAUAUUGGGAAGAACACCGGUGGCGAAGGCGGCGACCUGGUCCGUGACUGACGCUGAGGCGCGAAAGCCAGGGGAGCAAACGGG
rnacentral:rRNA from 1 species